AAAUGCCCCUAACCCCCUUCCACGGAAUAAGGAGCCGGUAUCAGGCACAAUAACCUGCCUAAAACACCUAGCCAUGCCACACCCACAAGGGUAAUCAGCAGUGAUUAACAUUGAACAUUAACGACAGUUAGACUCAGUCAGAGUAAUAUAGAGCUGGCCAACCUGGUGCCAGCCGCCGCGGCUACACCAUGAAGCUCAAAUUGACCUCCACCGGCGUAAAGCGUGACAAGGUAAUUCACCAAACUAGAAUUAAACUAAAACUGGGUAGUGAUAAGCCUGUUUUAAGGAAACUCAAAUACGAAAGUCAUUCUAGUCAAUUUCCCCCCCCCCCACGACAGCUGAGACCCAAACUUGGAUUAGAGACCCCACUAUGCUCAGCCGUAAACUUUAAUUUACACCAAAAUCGCCAGGGAACUACGAGCUAUGCUUAAAACCCAAAGGACUUGACGGCACCUCACACCCCACUAGAGGAGCCUGUCCUAUAAUCGAUACUCCCCGUUCAACCUCACCCCCCCUAGCCUUUUCAGCCUGUAUACUUCCGUCGCCAGCCCACCACAUGAGCGCCACCUAGUGGGCCCUCCGCUCAACCCGCAUAAACGUCAGGUCAAGGUGCAGCAGAUGGGGGGGGAAGAGAUGGGCUACAUUCUCUAGCAUAGAGCAUACGAAUGACUGCGCAUGAAACCCAGUCUGAAGGCGGAUUUAGAAGUAAAGGGAAAUCAAAGAGUUCCCUUUAACCUGGCACUGAGGUGUGUACACACCGCCCGUCACCCUCCUCAAAGCCCCCAGACAGUAACUAACAGCUAUCGCACGAGAGAGGAGGCAAGUCGUAACAUGGUAAGUAUACCGGAAGGUGUCCUUGGAGA
rnacentral:ncRNA from 1 species